CCAGCAAUGACUACAAUAAAAUGUAAACAAACAUUUCAAGAAAUAUAUUUUUUCUGGUCUAUCUAAAUGCCCAAACCAUAUUUCUAACUUGAUUUCUGAAUAAUACAUUAUAAUUUGCUAUUCAUGCCUGUCCAUAACUUUUCAAACUGUGAGUACUAAUUUUACAACUAUUAUAACUAUGAUUCAUUCAAGACACCUUUUAAAAGUCAUCAUUAAAAAUUUAAUAGAUACAAUAGUUUAAAACAAAAAUAAACAAAAUACAACAGAAAACGCCCACUACAAGCUAUUAUCAAACAGAUCUUAGUCAAAAGAUAUUGUACAGAGUAUAAAAUAAAACCAUCCAGAUUAAAUGACAUUGAAACAAUCACUAACAAAAAUGUGAUUACUUUAAAAAAAAAAUGUAUUUUCAAUUUCAUGAGCAUUUGCAGUUAUAUCUUGGCUGCAAAAGGGGAAAAUAAUAUUAUAGAUUUUUUUAUUACCAGUCAUUGACAAAUUCUAGUUUGUCAUGCUUUCUUAACAGAAGUUUGUUUAUCUAAAUGGUUUUGAGAACCGAUAUACUGUUGCAAUAAUGAUUUAUUAUACAAUUGAAAGGUUGUUUAAAGUUAAUGAUUAUUUUUUAAUACAUAUCACUGACUAAAGUAUUGUUGUUAAAAUGGCAAGCAUUUAAGAGAUGUUUUUAAAAACUAAUUUAAAUUUUGUUGGCACACAUGAUUACUUGCUAAGACAAGGCUUUAUAAAAAUAACAAGUUUUGAAAGUUUUGAAUUUUAAAUCAUGUUUUCUUUUGUGUAUUCCCAUGAGACAGUUUAUUCUUUGAAAUAAAUGUUUUCGCUGUGAGAGGAAUCAAAUAAUUACCUCUACUACGACAUCUAUUUAACUAUUUCAUCACUAAAUAUUCAUUGAGAAUAAUUUAAAUCUGAUUGUCUCUCUUUAAGACUUGUUUUGUUGUGAUCUAUAUUGUAAGCUAUAUUUCAAUGCAUAUCUGUCAAACAACAGAAACCCAAGGAGAUUCUGUUCAUAGUAUUGAAUUACAAAACUGUUUACAUCAACAUAUUGACUAAAUAUCAAAAAUAUUUAAAACAGGUGAUCAGGCUUAUAAUAGUUGUAUAUAUCUCAACCAUAUUAUAAGAAUUCAUUCACAAGUUAUUUCAAAUCUCACAAGAAAAUAUAACAUAAAUAUGGAGAAAAAUAUUCUCUCUCUUUAAAGAAA
rnacentral:lncRNA from 1 species